GAUGAACGCUAGCUACAGGCUUAACACAUGCAAGUCGAGGGGAAACGAUAUUGGAAGCUUGCUUCCGAUAGGCGUCGACCGGCGCACGGGUGAGUAACGCGUAUCCAACCUGCCCACCACUUGGGAAUAACCUUGCGAAAGUAAGACUAAUGCCCAAUGAUAUCUCUAGAAGACAUCUGAAAGAGAUUAAAGAUUUAUCGGUGAUGGAUGGGGAUGCGUCUGAUUAGCUUGUUGGCGGGGUAACGGCCCACCAAGGCGACGAACAGUAGGGGUUCUGAGAGGAAGGUCCCCCACAUUGGAACUGAGACACGGUCCAAACUCCUACGGGAGGCAGCAGUGAGGAAUAUUGGUCAAUGGGCGAGAGCCUGAACCAGCCAAGUAGCGUGCAGGAUGACGGCCCUAUGGGUUGUAAACUGCUUUUAUAAGGGAAUAAAGUGAGCCUCGUGAGGCUUUUUGCAUGUACCGUAUGAAUAAGGACCGGCUAAUUCCGUGCCAGCAGCCGCCGUAA
rnacentral:rRNA from 1 species